rnacentral:rRNA from 1 species
GCCAGACUCCUACGGGAGGCAGCAGUAGGGAAUUUUCGGCAAUGGGGGGAACCCUGACCGAGCAACGCCGCGUGAACGAAGAAGUUAUUCGUAAUGUAAAGUUCUUUUAUCAGGGAAGAAAGAGGAAUUUGACGGUACCUGACUAAGAAGCCCCGGCUAACUACGUGCCAGCAGCCGCGGUAAUACGUAGGGGGCGAGCGUUAUCCGGAUUCACUGGGUGUAAAGGGAGCGUAGACGGCCAUGCAAGCCAGGGGUGAAAGCCCGGGGCCCAACCCCGGGACUGCCCUUGGAACUGCAUGGCUGGAGUGCGGGAGGGGCAGGCGGAAUUCCUGGUGUAGCGGUGAAAUGCGUAGAUAUCAGGAGGAACGCCGGCGGCGAAGGCGGCCUGCUGGACCGCGACUGACGUUGAGGCUCGAAAGCGUGGGGAGCGAACAGGAUUAGAUACCCGCGUAA